CGGCAGGGGGCGGUGUAAUAAUGGCUCCAGCCGGCAGGUGGCGGUGUAAUAAUGGCUCCAGCCGGCAGGUGGCGGUGUAAUAAUGGCUCCAGCCGGCAGGGGGCGGUGGAAUAAUGGAUCCAGCCGGCAGGUGGCGGUGUAAUAAUGGCUCCAGCCGGCAGGUGGCGGUGUAAUAAUGGCUCCAGCCGGCAGGUGGCGGUGUAAUAAUGGAUCCAGCCGGCAGGUGGCGGUGUAAUAAUGGGUCCAGCCGGGAGGUGGCGGUGUAAUAAUGGAUCCAGCCGGGAGGUGGCGGUGUAAUAAUGGAUCCAGCCGGCAGGUGGCGGUGUAAUAAUGGAUCCAGCCGGCAGGUG